rnacentral:rRNA from 1 species
GUGGAUUAGAUACCCUGGUAGUCCACGCCGUAAACGAUGAGUGCUAGGUGUCACGGGCUUUGACCCUCGUGGUGCCGUAGCUAACGCAAUAAGCACUCCGCCUGGGGAGUACGGCCGCAAGGCUAAAACUCAAAGGAAUUGACGGGGGCCCGCACAAGCGGUGGAGCAUGUGGUUUAAUUCGACGCGACGCGCAGAACCUUACCUGGGCUAGAAAACACAGGAACCUGGGUGAAAACUCGGGGUGCUCUUCGGAGAAUCUGUGGUUAGGUGUUGCAUGGUGGUCGACAGCU